rnacentral:rRNA from 1 species
UCCGUUUUGGAGCUAACGCGAAUAUAGUUAUACCGCGCUGGGGAGUACCGGCCGCAAGGUUAAAACCUCAAAAGAAUUGACGGGGGGCCCGCGACCAACCGGUGGAAGCAUGUUGUUUCAAUUCGAGCGCUACGCGAAGAACCUUACCUGGGCUCGAACGACUGGUUGUACCUCUCCCGAAAGGGAGGGGGACCCGCAAGGGAGCCAGCCGAGGUGCUGCAUGGCUGUCGUCAGCUCGUGUCGUGAGAUGUUGGGUUAAGUCCCGCAACGAGCGCAACCCUUAUCCUGUGUUUGCUACCCGCAAGGGAGGACUCUCAGGAGACUGCCGCGGAUAACGUGGAGGAAGGUGGGGAUGACGUCAAGUCAUCAUGGCCUUUAUGUCCAGGGCUACACACGUGCUACAAUGGCGUAUACAACGGGAAGCAAUACCGUAAGGUGGAGCAAAUCCUUCAAAGUACGCCUCAGUUCGGAUCGAGGGCUGCAACUCGCCCUCGUGAAGGUGGAAUCGCUAGUAAUCGCGGAUCAGCAAUGCCGCGGUGAAUACGUUCCCGGGCCUUGUACACACCGCCCGUCACACCACGAAAGCCCAUUGCAACAGAA